UACGUAGGGUGCGAGCGUUGUCCGGAAUUAUUGGGCGUAAAGGGCUCGUAGGCGGUCUGUCGCGUCGGGAGUGAAAACUCAGGGCUCAACCCUGAGCGUGCUUCCGAUACGGGCGGACUAGAGGUAUGCAGGGGAGAACGGAAUUCCUGGUGUAGCGGUGGAAUGCGCAGAUAUCAGGAGGAACACCGGUGGCGAAGGCGGUUCUCUGGGCAUUACCUGACGCUGGAGGAGCGGAAAGCAUG
rnacentral:rRNA from 1 species